AUUGAACGCUGGCGGCAUGCCUUACACAUGCAAGUCGAACGGCAGCACGGGGCAACCUGGUGGCGAGUGGCGAACGGGUGAGUAAUGCAUCGGAACGUGCCAUUGAGUGGGGGAUAACGUAGCGAAAGUUGCGCUAAUACCGCGUACGAUCUACGGAUGAAAGCGGGGGAUCGCAAGACCUCGCGCGAUUGGAGCGGCCGAUGGCAGAUUAGGUAGUUGGUGGGGUAAAGGCUCACCAAGCCGACGAUCUGUAGCUGGUCUGAGAGGACGACCAGCCACACUGGGACUGAGACACGGCCCAGACUCCUACGGGAGGCAGCAGUGGGGAAUUUUGGACAAUGGGCGCAAGCCUGAUCCAGCCAUUCCGCGUGCAGGAUGAAGGCCUUCGGGUUGUAAACUGCUUUUGUACGGAACGAAACGGCCCUUCUAAUACAGGGGCUAAUGACGGUACCGUAAGAAUAAGACACCGGCUAACUACGUG
rnacentral:rRNA from 1 species